rnacentral:rRNA from 1 species
GAUGAACGCUGGCGGCGUGCCUAAUACAUGCAAGUCGAGCGAACAGACGAGGAGCUUGCUCCUCUGACGUUAGCGGCGGACGGGUGAGUAACACGUGGAUAACCUACCUAUAAGACUGGGAUAACUUCGGGAAACCGGAGCUAAUACCGGAUAAUAUAUUGAACCGCAUGGUUCAAUAGUGAAAGACGGUUUUGCUGUCACUUAUAGAUGGAUCCGCGCCGCAUUAGCUAGUUGGUAAGGUAACGGCUUACCAAGGCAACGAUGCGUAGCCGACCUGAGAGGGUGAUCGGCCACACUGGAACUGAGACACGGUCCAGACUCCUACGGGAGGCAGCAGUAGGGAAUCUUCCGCAAUGGGCGAAAGCCUGACGGAGCAACGCCGCGUGAGUAUGAAGGUCUUCGGAUCGUAAAACUCUGUUAUUAGGGAAGAACAAAUGUGUAAGUAACUAUGCACGUCUUGACGGUACCUAAUCAGAAAGCCACGGCUAACUACGUG